CAUGCAAGUCGAACGAAGUAGCAAUACUUAGUGGCAGACGGGUGAGUAACAUGUAGGUAUCUGCCCUUUGGCCUGGAAUAACACGAGGAAACUUGUGCUAAUACCGGAUAAGUCUUUACAGAGAAAGCUUUAUGCACCAUUGGAUGAGCCUGCACUUGAUUAGUUUGUUGGUGGGGUAAUGGCCUACCAAGACUAUGAUCAAUAGCUGAUUUGAGAGGAUGAUCAGCCACAUUGGGACUGAGACACGGCCCAAACUCCUACGGGAGGCAGCAGUGGGGAAUCUUGCACAAUGGAGGAAACUCUGAUGCAGCGAUGCCGCGUGAGUGAAGAAGGCCCUUGGGUUGUAAAGCUCUUUCGUCGGGGAAGAAAAUGACUGUACCCGAAUAAGAAGGUCCGGCUAGCUUCGUGCCAGCAGCCGCGGUAAUACGAAGGGACCUAGCGUAGUUCGGAAUUACUGGGCUUAAAGAGUUCGUAGGUGGUUGAAAAAGUUGGUGGUGAAAUCCCAGAGCUUAACUCUGGAACUGCCAUCAAAACUUUUCAGCUAGAGUAUGAUAGAGGAAAGCAGAAUUUCUAGUGUAGAGGUGAAAUUCGUAGAUAUUA
rnacentral:rRNA from 1 species